rnacentral:rRNA from 1 species
GGCGUGCCUAAUCAUGCNAGUCGUGCGGACUCCUUCGGGAGUGAGCGGCGGACGGGUGAGGAACACGUGGGCAAUCUGCCCAUUGGACUGGAAUAACGCCUGGAAACGGGUGCUAAGGCCGGAUAGGCGCAUGAGGCGCAUGCCUGAUGCGGGAAAGGAUGCUAUGGCAUCGCUGAGAGAGGACCCCGCGGCGCAUUAGCUAGUUGGUAGGGUAAAGGCCUACCAAGGCGACGAUGCGUAGCCGACCUGAGAGGGUGACCGGCCACACUGGGACUGAGACACGGCCCAGACUCCUACGGGAGGCAGCAGUAGGGAAUCUUCCGCAAUGGGCGCAAGCCUGACGGAGCAACGCCGCGUGAGCGAGGAAGGCCUUCGGGUUGUAAAGCUCAGUCAAGGGGGAAGAGCGGCAAGGAGAGGGAAUGCUCUUUGCGAGACGGUACCCCAAGAGGAAGCCCCGGCAAACUACGUGCCAGCAGCCGCGGUAAU